CUGCAUGUUUGUGACCGCGUUUAAUGUCAUACAUUAAGCGCCAAUUGGUAGUAAUUUUUUUAAGUGGCAGCACCCCGGUGGAGAGGAAGUGCUGCUGGAGCACGCCGGAAAAAAUGCAACGGAAGCCUUCGAAGAUGUGGGCCAUUCGACUGAUGCUCGCGAAAGAAUGGACGAGUUCAAAGUCGGUACUCUGGUAGCCGCAGAACGGACCGCUGAUAUUCCCAAGAAAAACACCACUGAGUGGUCAGUGCCAGCACCCGAUGCUACUGAAAGCUCUUUGAAGUCCUGGAUCAUUCCCGUCGCUAUAGGAUUAGUCGCAACAGUGGCUUACCGUCUCUAUUUCAUGUCGUAAGCGCUAGCGCCACCCCCAACCACAUUGAAAUUGCAUUUAAGGGUACAUAGGGACGAAACUUAGGAACAUAAACACGUGGCAUUUUCAAUGCCUAAUUCUAAUUAGCGUCGUUUAUUAUUAAUGUAGCCUACUUUUUUAAUUUAUUGUUUGAUUGUUAACACCCCUAUUGGAUAUUAAUCGUCACUCGGUCAGAGGAACGAAAAAAAAAUGACUAACAUGUAUGGGAUCGUCGUAUAAAGUGUAUAUUUUGAAACAAGCUAGAUUAAAGCCACUAUGAGAACCUUCCUAGUGAAA
rnacentral:misc_RNA from 1 species